rnacentral:rRNA from 1 species
GCUCCUGGCUCAGAUUGAACGCUGGCGGCAGGCCUAACACAUGCAAGUCGAACGGUAACAGAAAGCAGCUUGCUGCUUUGCUGACGAGUGGCGGACGGGUGAGUAAUGUCUGGGAAACUGCCCGAUGGAGGGGGAUAACUACUGGAAACGGUAGCUAAUACUGCAUAACGUCGCAAGACCAAAGAGGGGGACCUUCGGGCCUCUUGCCAUCGGAUGUGCCCAGAUGGGAUUAGCUAGUAGGG